rnacentral:misc_RNA from 1 species
GAUGAAGAACGCAGCGAAAUGCGAUAAGUAAUGUGAAUUGCAGAAUUCAGUGAAUCAUCGAAUCUUUGAACGCACAUUGCGCCCCUCGGUAUUCCGAGGGGCAUGCCUGUUCGAGCGUCAUUAUAACCCUUCAAGCUCAGCUUGGUGUUGGGGCCUGCUGUAACUGGUAGCCCUUAAAAUCAGUGGCAGUGCUAUUAGGCUCUAAGCGUAGUAAUUCUUCGCGCUAUAGUGUGUAGUGAGCGCUUGCCAGAACCCCAAACUUUUAUAUGAUUGACCUCGGAUCAGGUAGGGAUACCCGCUGAACUUAAGCAUAUCAAUAACGGAGGA